rnacentral:pre_miRNA from 1 species
UUAUUAGUAUAAGUAUGUCCCAUGCAACAUGGGGGACAUACUUAUACUAAAA